UACAGAGACUGCAAGCGUUAUUCGGAUUCACUGGGCGUAAAGGGUGCGCAGGCGGCCGAGUGUGUUAGAUGUGAAAUCCCGGGGCUCAACCCCGGAACUGCGUCUAAAACUACUUGGCUAGAGUAUUGGAGAGGGUAUCGGAAUUCACGGUGUAGCAGUGAAAUGCGUAGAUAUUGUGAGGAACACCAGAGGCGAAGGCGGAUACCUGGACAAUUACUGACGCUCAGGCACGAAAGCGUGGGGAGCAAAAGGG
rnacentral:rRNA from 1 species